rnacentral:rRNA from 1 species
UCCGGAGGGGGCUAGCGUUAUUCGGAAUUACUGGGCGUAAAGCGCACGUAGGCGGCUUUGUAAGUCAGCGGUGAAAGCCUGGAGCUCAACUCCAGAACUGCCUUUGAGACUGCAUCGCUUGAAUCCAGGAGAGGUGAGUGGAAUUCCGAGUGUAGAGGUGAAAUUCGUAGAUAUUCGGAAGAACACCAGUGGCGAAGGCGGCUCACUGGACUGGUAUUGACGCUGAGGUGCGAAAGCGUGGGGAGCAAACAGG